UGGUUGGUAGUUCUGUGAUGUAAUUUUAAGCUGUCAGGCUGUCACAUGUCAACUUUUUGUCGUUAUUUAUUCUAAGGCUUUGUGGAUCCGUAAUUCAGUGUACAAUAUAAAAAUAUAAUUAUUGUAAAGCAGUGUAGUGAUUAGUAAUAUUAAAUUCUGGAGCCCCUAUUUAUUAUUAACAACAGUGUAAUUGAUAUCUAACGUUUUUGAUGAAGUAAUCGAAGAAAAUAAUUGGACCAUUUUGACAGUGGGUGCUUUGACUAAACAUCAGUCAGGUUAAGGGACUUUUAAUGGAUUUUGAGUAUAGCAAAGAAAAUAUUUUACCUCUUCUACGAGGAAGGAACGUUCACCAACUUAAUAUGGCACUACAAGCUCAGACUAACAGAGACUGUCAACUAGAACUUCUGCAGCAAAAA
rnacentral:lncRNA from 1 species